rnacentral:lncRNA from 1 species
UGAGGUCCACACUCCAGUCCAGUUGGUGGCGGUAAUGCACCUUAAAGUUGGUUGCCAACCGCCAUAUCAAGUCUAGAAGUCCCGCCUCCCAUCAGUUCAUUGGUUCUCACAAUGAACAUACUUCCCGUACUUCCUGUAAACAAAAGUCAACAUGGGUGCUUGAAAGAUGGAUGAGGAGAGAUGUAUCGUGGCAGUAGAGAAGUACUCACUUUCAUAUGAUGCGUCUUCAAAAUUCUACAUGGAUCCAACUAAAAAAAGAUGCGAUCUAGGGAGCGAUUGCAAAGACCAUGCACAUUUCAUGUAAAGUAUAACAACCCAAUGUUCAUCCCUCGUUAUAAAACAAACUAGCUAGCUGACUGUGAAUGGCAUGUGUGCUGUAGUGCUUUGUCUUUACAGAAAUCCUCUGAAGCCAACAGUCGUGAGAAAAUUACUAGUAUUUCCAUUUUUUUUGGUUCAUUGUUGAAAAAGGGGUGGAAUUGUACAAUGAAUACACAAAACAAAUGAAGAUGUUGUCAAAGUUGAGCUUACUGUCCCAUGUUGUAAAUCAGGUAGAAGGAUUUUUUUUAACCACACACACACACAGCCACAGCCACAACCAUUCUGUCCUGGAAACCCAAUUCUGCCUGCCACAGAUGUGAAAUACUUUAGACUGCCUCCUGACCUACUCUGUUGGCCUGGAUGGCUAUGCUUCUCAUACCUUGCCUCAUCCCUGCCCCACUCUGCUGUAGCCACAUCACAUCACAAGGCAGCAGCUACUCUUCCUGGGGUCCAGCAAAAUUAAGGCAAUUUAUACAAUUUUAAAACAUUACAAUACAUUCACAGAUUUCACAACACAGUGUGUGUUGAGAAAGAUUUAUUUCUUGUAGCUGAUGUUGUGCCCGGCUUAUGUUUUCAUCAGGUAGGGCUUUAGCGGGAAGGCAGCGUCCUCCACCAUUGUGUAUGGUAUCUUUCCCAAAUCUUCACCCACAGGCAGAAGGGCAUCUGCAGGGUUUUUGAUGCCAUUGCCCUUCCAAGUGGGGAGUUGGCAUUUAAACUCAGCAAAAAAAGAAACGUCCCUUUUUCAGGACCCUAUCUGUCAAAGAUAAUUUGUAAAAAUCCAAAUAACUUCACAGACCUUCAUUGUAAAGGGUUUAACCACUGUUUCCCAUGCGUGUUUAACCUGUUAUGGCUAGGGGGCAGUAUUUUCACGGCUGGAUAAAAAAACGUACCCGAUUUUAAUCUGAUUAUUACUCCUGCCCAGAAACUAGAAUAUGCAUAUAAUUAUUAGCUUUGGAUAGAAAACACUCAAGUUUCUAAAACUGUUUGAAUGGUGUCUGUGAGUAUAACAGAACUCAUUUGGCAGGCCAAAACCUGAGAAGAUUCUGUACUGAAAGUAACCUGUCUGACCAUUUCUUGGCCUUCUUUGUCAUCUCUAUCCAUUACAAAGGAUCUCUGCUCUUACGUGACACUUCCUACGGCUUCCAUGGGCGCUCAGAGCCCGGGAAAAAGCUGAAUGACGUAAUUCAAAGCCCUGGCUGAAACACACGAGCGCUUUUGCUAAGUGGUCUAUCAGAGGACAAAGGGCUUAGGGGCGUGCACUGGCCGCCCCCGUCUUUCUCUUUUUCCCUCUAUUUACCGAAAAGCCGAUUCCCGGUCGGAAUAUUAUCACUUUUUUUACGAGAUAAAUUGCAUAAAAAUUGAUUUUAAACAGCGGUUGACAUGCUUCGAAGUACGGUAAUGGAAUAUUUAGAAUUUUUUUGUCACGAAAUGCGUCAUGCGCGCGACCCUGAUUUACCAUUUCGGAUAGUGUCUAGAACGCACGAACAAAACGCCGCUAUUUGGAUAUAACGAUGGAUUAUUUGGGACCAAACCAACAUUUGUUAUUGAAGUAGAAGUCCUGGGAGUGCAUUCUGACGAAGAACAGGAAAGGUAAUAACAUUUUUCUUAUAGUAAAUCUGAUUUUGGUGAAGGCUAAACUUGCCGGGUGUCUAAAUAGCUAGCCCGUGAUGGCUGUUCUAUGUACUUAGAAUAUUGGAAAAUGUGCUUUCACCAAAAAGCUAUUUUAAAAUCGGACAUAUCGAGUGCAUAGAGGAGUUCUGUAUCUAUAAUUCUUAAAAUAAUUGUUAUGCUUUUUGUGAACGUUUAUCGUGAGUAAUUUAGUAAAUUGUUAGUAAAUUCCCUGGAAGUUUGCUAGUUCUGAACGUCACAUGCUAAUGUAAAAAGCUGGUUUUUGAUAUAAAUAUGAACUUGAUUGAACAAAACAUGCAUGUAUUGUAUAACAUAAUGUCCUAGGGUUGUCAUCUGAUGAAGAUCAAAGGUUAGUGCUGCAUUUAGCUGUCUUCUGGGUUUUUGUGACAUUAUAUGCUAGCUUGAAAAAUGGGUGUCUGAUUAUUUCUGGCUGAGUACUCUGCUGACAUAAUCUAAUGUUUUGCUUUCGCUGUAAAGCCUUUUUGAAAUCGGACAGUGUGGUUAGAUUAACGAGAGUCUUGUAUUUAAAAUGCUGUAAAAUAGUCAUAUCCCAUUGAGCACGUCUGGGACCUGUUUGAUCGGAGGGUGAGGGCCAGGGCCAUUCCCCCAGAAAUGUCUGGGAACUUGCAGGUGCCUUGGUGGAAGAGUGGGGUAACAUCUCACAGCAAGAACUGGCAAAUCUGGUGCAGUCCAUGAGGAGAUGCACUGCAGUACUUAAUGCAGCUGGUGGCCACACCAGAUACUGACUGUUACUUUUGAUUCUGACCCCCUCCCCACCCACCCCCCCUUUGUUCAGGGACACAUUAUUCCAUUUCUGUUAGUCACAUGUCUGUGGAAUUUGUUCAGUUUUUGUCUCAGUUGUUGAAUCUUAUGUAAAUACAAAUAUUUGUACAUGUUAAUUUUGCUGUAAAUAAAACGCAGUUGACAGUGAGAGGAUGUUUUUUUAAUUUUUUUAUUUACUCUGCCGUCUCUGUUUCUCCCAAAAUCCCCCACCUCAAUAGCUGUGAAGUGGUAUUUAGCAUCCACAAGGGCGAGUAGCACCACGGAGAAGGUUCCUUUAUAAUAAAAAAAAAAACCGUCUUCCUGAGUUUGGUGGUUUGGUGAUCAUAAUAUUUUCCAUCAACCAAUCCCAAACAAUUGGGAAAGUCCCAUUUUUCAUUACACUCUUGAGAAGUUUGUCUCCAGGUUUCGUCAGUGGGUCGUGGCAGAUGGGUCGCUAUGGUCCUCCUCUCUAUGGCCUCACAGGUCUACAUAAUGCACUGCAAUACUGUCUCGAAUCCAAGACGGUAGGUCAAGAUAUAGAAUUUUGCAAAACCAGAUGGAAGUCCCUCCGUGACACUUUUUUUAAGGCACCUACAGAAGGCCCAACCCAGCGGUUCUGGGGGAACCAAUCAGAAAGAAUGGAAAUACAUAUAUUAUAUCAUUCUUGAUACCUUACAUCCAGCCAACAAGCUCAAGAGGCAACCUCAGCCUUGAAAAUGCUGAUUCGCCUCAGCCACAACCUGUGGAGAUGGAUGACACUGAGGACAACGUGGGUUCCCCGAGCCAUGACCCUGUGCUUCAGAUGCCUGAACAUCAGUCAAGACCAACCACUACAGACACGGCUCAAGACUGGCAUCCAAGAAAAAGAAAACAGAAGGUCAACCAUCAAGAUGUGGAUGAAGAGCUGCUUGCAUUUGUCAGGAAGCCAAUCCCUUCUGCUGCUACCUCAGAUGAUGUGGAUGAGGUAUUUGUGCACAGCCUUGUGUCAGGAAGAAACAAGGGCACUCUGAAAAUGCAACUACUAUCAUUGAUUGUAAACUAGGAUGACCAGCAUGCAACACCUCUGCCACCACUUCCACCACCACAAUGGCUCUUUGAUGCUCUGCAUGGAAGAGUUGGACUGCAGCCUAUGAUGUACGGCCAGCCCAGGCAUCAAUACUCCUACUCACCAGGAUCUAUCUAACACAUAACUAGGAUGACCAGCAGGCAACACCACUGCCACCACCACGGCCUGCAAGUACUCCGCACGGAAAAGGUGGACUGCAGCCAAUCAUGUACGAUGAGCCCAGUGAUCAAUACUCACCAGAACUUAGGUCUCCAACACAUAGCUGGGAUGACAGCUUCAGUACAUUUUCUUAAGAGAGCUGGGUCCAAGAAUCCCAGUCACAUUGAUAAUCCCCUCCUAAAAAGACACAUCCCAUGUUCUGUUUUAGAGUUUUAAAAAGGGAAAGGUUUAUGUAUGCACUAUUUGCACUUCUUUGUUGUUGCAGUUAUAUUUGCAUUGCACCUUGUAUUUAACAUUUUUUUAAUCAUUUUUUGCUAUUCAGUGAAUAUUGUAAUUGGGAAGGAUAUGCCAUUUUUUGUUUACAUGCCUUGCUGUGGCUGUUCAUCUCACCUACAACAGGUGCACCAUGCCUUGUUGUGACUGUUAAUGUCAC